AUUGAACGCUGGCGGCAUGCCUUACACAUGCAAGUCGAACGGACCCUUCGGGGUUAGUGGCGGACGGGUGAGUAACACGUGGGAACGUGCCUUUAGGCUCGGAAUAGCUCCUGGAAACGGGUGGUAAUGCCGAAUGUGCCCUUCGGGGGAAAGAUUUAUCGCCUUUAGAGCGGCCCGCGUCUGAUUAGCUAGUUGGUGAGGUAAUGGCUCACCAAGGCGACGAUCAGUAGCUGGUCUGAGAGGAUGACCAGCCACAUUGGGACUGAGACACAGCCCAAACUCCUACGGGAGGCAGCAGUGGGGAAUCUUGCGCAAUGGGCGAAAGCCUGACGCAGCCAUGCCGCGUGGAUGAUGAAGGUCUUAGGAUUGUAAAAUCCUUUCACCGGUGAAGAUAAUGACUGUAGCCGGAGAAGAAGCCCCGGCUAACUUCGUGCCAGCCGCCGCCGUAAGAC
rnacentral:rRNA from 1 species